GUAGGGUGCAAGCGUUGUCCGGAAUUACUGGGUGUGAAGGGAGCGCAGACGGCACUGCAAGUCUGAAGUGAAAGCCCGGGGCUCAACCCCGGGACUGCUUUGGAAACUGUAGAGCUAGGGUGCUGGAGAGGCAAGCGGAAUUCCUAGUGUAGCGGUGAAAUGCGUAGAUAUUAGGAAGAACACCAGUGGCGAAGGCGGCUUGCUGGACAGUAACUGACGUUCAGGCUCGAAAGCGUGGGGAGCAAACAGGAUUAGAUACCCUGGUAGUCCACACUGUAAACGAUGAAUACUAGGUGUGCGGGGACUGACCCCCUGCGUGCCGCAGUAAACACAAUAAGUAUUCCACCUGGGGAGU
rnacentral:rRNA from 1 species